rnacentral:rRNA from 1 species
AUGUCCAAAUUAUGUUUUCCCCUUGACCAUCAGAUGAAGCUUGGUCUCCGGCUUUGGUCAUAUGUUCGAGAAGAAGCUUCUCAUGGAAGGAAAGCACCGAUUGAUCCAUUCACGAGGGAGAGCAGGAAACCAUCAGCCUCACAAGGAGUACCCCUUGGUGGGAUGGGGACUGGUAGCAUAUCAAGAGGUUUUAGAGGGGAGUUCAAACAUUGGCAGAUAACCCCUGGUUCAUGUGAUAUGUCACCAGUGAUGGAUAACCAAUUUUCGGGUUUUCUGGUUCCGUCCACCACCUCUCCUCCGCGGGUUUUACCGUCGCGACAGAACCAAUCCCUUGCUAGCCCUACCUCGUCUCCCGUCUCCAGUCGCAGCCGCCGCCGCACCCCAAUCCAACCCCGCCGCCGGCGAUCUCCUCGCCCCCCUGCACCGCCCCCCAACCUUCUAUUCCUCUCCCAAGGGAAUCCCAAGGGAAGGGAAGGGAAGGGAAGGGAAGGGAAGGGAGAGGGAGCGCCCAGAUCCACGGCGGCAUCAGCGCGCCGUCUUCGACCUGAUCCGCGUCCGUCCUCGAGGGAGGUUGGCAUAGAGGUCCGACCCGGCCCGGCAGCAGCCAUGGAUGGACGGAGACGCCCCAAGCCCUACCCUCAAGGACGACGCCUCCACCUUCAAGGACGCGCGCCGACGACCGCGGAUCUCCGGAUGACUGCCCCGGAUCUGCAUGCACGACUUGCAGCUGCAGCAGCAGCUGGACGACCGAACGCACGAGCCCUCCCUCCCUCCCUCAUGGCUCUGCUUCCUCUUACCCUGCCCCCUCACGUGGGCGUGCUGGACUUCGAUGACGGUACACCACCAGAAGAUGCUUGGAGAAGAAAAUUAAGUAGUCAGGCUAAUAGAUUGAAGGAGUUCAAUGUUACAUUCAGAGAAGCAUUUAAAAUGAUGAAGCUUGGUCUCCGGCUUUGGUCAUAUGUUCGAGAAGAAGCUUCUCAUGGAAGGCCCUACCUCGUCUCCCGUCUCCAGUCUCAGCCACCGCCGCACCCCAAUCCAACCCCGCCGCCGGCGAUCUCCUCGCCCCCCUGCACCGCCGCCCCAACCUUCUAUUCCUCUCCUAAGGGAAUCCCAAGGGAAGGGAAGGGAAGGCAAGGGAAGGGAGAGGGAGCGCCCAGAUCCACGGCUGCAUCAGCGCGCCGUCGUCGACCUGAUGCGUGUCCGUCCUCGAGGGAGGUCGGCACGGAGGUCCGACCCGGCCCGGCAGUAGCCAUGGAUGGACAGAGACGCCCCAAGCUCUACCCUCAAGGACGACGCCUCAACCUUCAAGGACGCGCGCCGACGACCGCGGAUCUCCGGAUGACUGCCCCGGAUCUGGACGCACGACCUGCAGCUGCAGUAGCAGCUGGACGACCGAACGCACGUGCCCUCCCUCCCUUCCUCAUGGCUCUGCUUCCUCCUACCCUGCCCCCCUCACGUGGGCGUGAUUGUUCUGGACGUAUUGUUAUUCUGGACUUCGAUGACGGUACACCACCAGAAGAUGCUUGGAGAAGAAAAUUAAGUAGUCAGGCUAAUAGACUGAAGGAGUUCAAUGUUACGUUCAGAGAAGCAUUUAAAAUGAUGAAGCUUGGUCUCCGGCUUUGGUCAUAUGUUCGAGAAGAAGCUUCUCAUGGAAGGAAAGCACCGAUUGAUCCAUUCACGAGGGAGAGCAUCAAACCAUCAGCCUCACAAGGAGUACCCCUUGGUGGGAUGGGACAACAGAUUCUUAAUUUCCUGAAAUUUUCUCUAUGGAUGUUCAAUGGAUGCAAAUCUGGAAUGUUCUCUUCGGUCUUUGUGAUCACUGAAGCAAAGAAAAGUACAGGAGUUCUGGUGCCAGAUUGUUCACACAACAUAUCCUUGCCACUUCUACAGUCACAAAGACAUGUUUGUCUUGUCCUCUCUUCUUCUUCCCACCAACCUCGGCACAAUUACUGUGAUAUUUUGUGUGUGUUCUUCGACAACCUUUAUAUCACGGACUGCCUCCACGUCCACCUUCUUCUACGAGCAUAUAUCAUCACCAUGAGGUGCUUCUACAUGAAUCCCGUGCAUAGUCUCGAUCACUACCCACCGGGGCAGCUACUUCUGCUGGCAGUAGCACUUUCCUCUGACAUAUUUACACCAUUACUAGGUGUGGAGAGUUUGGGUUCGGAAGUUAGUGGGUGGGAGCGGAGGAAGGAAAGGGGAGAAAGAUGUGCUUUCCUCGUUGCAAUGCACGGGCAAUUAACUAUAUUGCUAAUAAGUCUGCAGGAGGUGCCUUUGAGGACUUGCUCGUCCGUUCGGUACCAUCGUCUUUCCAAGAGCCCACAUUUCUGCAUGUAUAUAUUUGUUGUACAGCCUAUGCUGGUUUGCCUGCAAUAA